UAAGAUACUUACAAUGAAUAA
rnacentral:piRNA from 1 species